CGGAGGAGCAUGUGGUUUAAUUCGAUGAUACGCGAGGAACUUACCUGGGCUCGAACGUAAGAUGACUGUAGGUGAAAGCUUACAUCUCUUCGGAGCAUUUUACGAGGUGCUGCAUGGUUGUCGUCAGCUCGUGCCGUGAGGUGUCGGGUUAAGUCCCAUAACGAGCGCAACCCUACCUUUAGUUGCCAUCAGGUAAUGCUGGGGACUCUAAAGGAACUGCCUACGCAAGUAGUGAGGAAGGCGGGGAUGACGUCAAAUCAGCACGGCCCUUACGUCCAGGGCUACACACGUGCUACAAUGGCCGAUACAGAGGGCAGCUACCUGGUGACAGGAUGCAAAUCUCCAAAGUCGGUCUCAGUUCGGAUCGGAGUCUGCAACCCGACUCCGUGAAGUUGGAUUCGCUAGUAAUCGCGCAUCAGCCAUGGCGCGGUGAAUACGUUCCCGGGCCUU
rnacentral:rRNA from 1 species